rnacentral:misc_RNA from 1 species
AAAGUAAAUAUGUAUUCUAUCGAAUAUACAUUUUCAAACCCAUCUGCGUACGUUACCCGUUGCUUCCGCGGGGCAGUGAUCACGAUCACCUCCAGACGAUGGCGCAAGCCCAUCCGACGGGGAGCCCCCGCGAAAGGUAUACACCAAACCCUUGCAUUUUCAUGCCAUCUGUCUGAACCUGUUUAUAACAAAUGUUA